UACGAAGGGGCUAGCGUUGUUCGGAAUUACUGGCGUAAAGCGCGCGUAGGCGGUGAUCUUUGUCAGAGGUGAAAUCCCGGGGCUCAACUCCGGAAUUGCCUUUGAAAACGGGAUCGGCUUGAGUCCGAGAGAGGAUGGCGGAAUUCCUUAGUGUAGAGGUGAAAUUCGUAGAUAUUUAGGAAGAAACACCGGUGGCGAAGGCGGCCAUCUGGCUCGGUACUGACGCUCAGGCGACGAAAGCGUGGGGAGCAAACAGG
rnacentral:rRNA from 1 species